AAACAGCUUACUGCUCCAACCCU
rnacentral:piRNA from 1 species